GAUCAACGCUGGCGGCGCACAUAAGACAUGCAAGUUGAACGGACUUAAUCGAAAUAUUUAUAUUUUGAAGCGGUUAGUGGCGGACUGGUGAGUAACGCGUAAGGAACCUGCCUAUUAGAGGGGAAUAACAGUGAGAAAUCAUUGCUAAUACCGCAUAUGCCAUAGAUAUCACAUGAUAACAGUGGGAAAGGAGCAAUCCGCUAAUAGAUGGCCUUGCGUCUGAUUAGAUAGUUGGUGGGGUAACGGCCUACCAAGUCGACGAUCAGUAGCCGGACUGAGAGGGUGAACGGCCACAUUGGGACUGAGAUACGGCCCAGACUCCUACGGGAGGCAGCAGUCGGGAAUAUUGAGCAAUGGAGGAAACUCUGACGCAGUGACGCCGCGUAUAGGAAGAAGGUUUUCGGAUUGUAAACUAUUGUCGUUAGGGAAGAGAAAGGACAGUACCUAAGGAGGAAGCUCCGGCUAACUACGUG
rnacentral:rRNA from 1 species